GACGAACGCUGGCGGCGUGCUUAACACAUGCAAGUCGAACGGAAAGGCCCUGCUUUUGUGGGGUGCUCGAGUGGCGAACGGGUGAGUAACACGUGAGUAACCUGUCCUUGACUUUAGGAUAACUUCAGGAAACUGGGGCUAAUACCGGAUAGGAGCUCCUGCUGCAUGGUGGGGGUUGGAAAGUUUCGGCGGUUGGGGAUGGACUCGCGGCUUAUCAGCUUGUUGGUGGGGUAGUGGCUUACCAAGGCUUUGACGGGUAGCCGGCCUGAGAGGGUGACCGGCCACAUUGGGACUGAGGUACGGCCCAGACUCCUACGGGAGGCAGCAGUGGGGAAUAUUGCACAAUGGGCGGAAGCCUGAUGCAGCAACGCCGCGUGCGGGAUGACGGCCUUCGGGUUGUAAACCGCUUUCGCCUGUGACGAAGCGUGAGUGACGGUAAUGGGUAAAGAAGCACCGGCUAACUACGUG
rnacentral:rRNA from 1 species